CUGAGCUACGCGGUCAGGGCGGUUCGAGUAAGUGAUAUUUCGGAACAGUAUCUAGUUCCUUCAAUACCAAUGUGUUCUUGUAAUAUGAAUUUUUUUUCUGUGCUGGUGUUUUGUUUACUCAGGUGAAUAAUAUGUUUUGGGAUGUUACUCUGAGUGCAUAUCCACACCGGGCGAGCUUGAAAAAUAUGCCCGGCCACGGUGGGAUUCGAACCUACGACCUUUGGAAUACUAGCCCAAUGCUCUUCCAACUGAGCUACGCGGUCAGGACGGUUCG
rnacentral:tRNA from 1 species